GGGGGCGUAGCUCAGCUGGUAGAGCACCUGGUUUGCAACCAGGGGGUCAUGGGUUCGAGUCCCUUCGCCUCCACCA
rnacentral:tRNA from 1 species